AGCGAACGCUGGCGGCAGGCCUAACACAUGCAAGUCGAACGAACUCUUCGGAGUUAGUGGCGGACGGGUGAGUAACACGUGGGAACGUGCCUUUAGGUUCGGAAUAACUCAGGGAAACUUGUGCUAAUACCGAAUGUGCCCUUCGGGGGAAAGAUUUAUCGCCUUUAGAGCGGCCCGCGUCUGAUUAGCUAGUUGGUGGGGUAAAGGCUCACCAAGGCGACGAUCAGUAGCUGGUCUGAGAGGAUGAUCAGCCACAUUGGGACUGAGACACGGCCCAAACCCCUACGGAAGGCAGCAGGGGGGAAUUUGCCGCAAUGGGCGAAAGCUGAACGCAGCCAGACCGGAGAAAUGAGGAAGUUUGGAGGAUUAAAAAUUUUUUUCCCCGGGAACGUUAAGAAGGGAACCCGUAAGAAAGCCCCCGGUAAAUUCCUG
rnacentral:rRNA from 1 species